AGCGGCGAACGCUUGAGUAACACGUGGGCAACCUGCCCCCGACUCUGGGAUAAGCCCGGGAAACUGGGUCUAAUACCGGAUACGAGCCUCCUCCGCAUGGUGGAGGCUGGAGAGGAUCUCCGGUCGGGGAUGGGCCCGCGGCCUAUCAGCUUGUUGGUGGGGUAACGGCCUACCAAGGCGACGACGGGUAGCCGGCCUGAGAGGGUGAACGGCCACACUGGGACUGAGACACGGCCCAGACUCCUACGGGAGGCAGCAGUGGGGAAUUUUCCGCAAUGGGCGAAAGCCUGACGGAGCAAGACCGCGUGAGGGAAGAAGGUCUGUGGAUUGUAAACCUCUUUUGACAGGGAAGAAGCUCUGACGGUACCUGUCGAAUCAGCCUCGGCUAACUCCGUGCCAGCAGCCGCGGUAAUA
rnacentral:rRNA from 1 species